GGUCAUAUGCACUGUCUCAAGAUUAAGCCAUGCAUGUCUCAGUAUAAGUACUAGAUUGACGAAACUGCGAACGGCUCAUUAAAACAGUUAUUAUUGCUUUGAAGGGCGAAAGUUACACGGAUAACCGUGGGAAACCAAGGCUAAUACGUGCGUACGGUUUUUAUAAAACCAGCGUUUAUUAGAGAAAGAACCAACUUUUGGUGCAUCAUGAUAACCAUGCGGAUCGCAUGCUUCGGCAGCGAUAGUUCAUUCAAGUUUCUGACCUAUCAGCUCUCGACGGUCGGGUAUUGGCCCACCGUGGCUUUUACGGGUGACGGGGAAUUGGGGUUCGAUUCCGGAGAGGGAGCCUGAGAAACGGCUACCACGUCUAAGGAUGGCAGCAGGCGCGUAAAUUACCCAAUCCUGAUACAGGGAGGUAGUGACAAGAAAUAGCGACGCGAGGCAAAUGUCUUGUGAUUGCAAUGAGUAGAAUCUAAACGUUUCUACGAGUACCAAUUGGAGGGCAAGUCUGGUGCCAGCAGCCGCGGUAAUUCCAGCUCCAAUAGCGUAUAUUAAAGUUGCUGCGGUUAAAAAGCUCGUAGUUGGAUCUCAGUCUCGGGCGGACGGUCCAUUUUGCGAUGGUACUGUCCGAAUCGGACAUUUGGCCGCCUUUCCCAGUAUGCUCUUUACUGAGUGUAUUGGGAGAGUGGCACGUUUACUUUGAAAAAAUUAGAGUGCUCAAAGCAGGCUCUCGCCUGAAUCUUCGUGCAUGGAAUGAUGGAAUAUGGCCUUGGUUCUAUUUUGUUGGUUUCCGGAACUCGAGGUAAUGAUUAAGAGGGACGGACGGGGGCAUUCGUAUUGCGACAUUAGAGGUGAAAUUCUUAGAUCGUCGCAAGACGGACUACUGCGAAAGCAUUUGCCAAGAAUGUUUUCAUUAAUCAAGAACGAAAGUCAGAGGUUCGAAAGGCGAUCAGAUACCGCCCUAGUUCUGACCAUAAACGAUGCGAACUGGCGAUCCGUCGUGUUAAUACCAAUGACUCGACGGCAGCUUCCGGGAAAACCAAGUGUUCCUGUCCGGGGAGUGUGCUGCAAACUGGAACUUAAGAUGACGAGCACACAGAGUGAGCUGUGGCUAUUGACUCACACGGAAAUCUCACCAGGCCGG
rnacentral:rRNA from 1 species